rnacentral:rRNA from 1 species
GAUGAACGCUGGCGGCGUGCCUAAUACAUGCAAGUCGAGCGAACAGAUGAGGAGCUUGCUCCUCUGACGUUAGCGGCGGACGGGUGAGUAACACGUGGAUAACCUACCUAUAAGACUGGGAUAACUUCGGGAAACCGGAGCUAAUACCGGAUAAUAUAUUGAACCGCAUGGUUCAAUAGUGAAAGACGGUUUUGCUGUCACUUAUAGAUGGAUCCGCGCCGCAUUAGCUAGUUGGUAAGGUAACGGCUUACCAAGGCAACGAUGCGUAGCCGACCUUAGAGGGUGAUCGGCCACACUGGAACUGAGACACGGUCCAGACUCCUACGGGAGGCAGCAGUAGGGAAUCUUCCGCAAUGGGCGAAAGCCUGACGGAGCAACGCCGCGUGAGUGAUGAAGGUCUUCGGAUCGUAAAACUCUGUUAUUAGGGAAGAACAAAUGUGUAAGUAACUAUGCACGUCUUGACGGUACCUAAUCAGAAAGCCACGGCUAACUACGU